ACGGUUCCUAACCCUAAAUAAAAAACCAAAGACCGUCAUCUAUCGCUUCAUCUGGAACAAAAGGAAGGGAUCGAGUAUUGUGGAAGCUCAUGGCAAGACCCAAAAAAGAAGGGGGGGGAUCAGGAUCCAAGAUCCUAAAUUGCUCAACAUCGUUGCAGGCUUGAAGAGACUUGUGAGAAUAUGGACAUCGACUAACUCGAUAUGGUCGUGUUGGAUUCAAACAAGAUUAUUUUGUGUUAAUCACGAUCUGAUACACCAUUUUCUUCACUGCCUGAUUGUUGAGAUGCCCUCUCAGUGUUCAAUGCAGCGGAAGUAGGUUCGGUAGGGUUGGCGCCCUCAUCUGUUGAUGAUUUUAUAUUCGAGUGAUGAUGGAUUUGAAUCACUGAGAACAGGAAGAUUGGGGAAGAAAGUUUUCUAUAUUUGCCAUUAUUCCUACUCUUUAAUUACUAUUACAGAGUUCCUAAAUCCGUUAUUAACCAACUAAUUAGUUACAAUUUCCUACUCAAACUGUAAUUAGUUAUACUAAUGACAAUUUUAACUUAUAAAUUUGCUUUGCUUCGAAAAAAGAGAGAAGAAACUAGAAAUCGAGAGAAAAACCUAAUCGGCGAUGGAAAAAUAAAAACACGACGAAUUAAGGAUGAGACGG
rnacentral:lncRNA from 1 species